AUGAGUUGUUUAAGUUGGAAUUGCCGGGGGCUUGGGAACCCUGAGGCAGUUCGAGAACUGCGCAGGAUUGUGCGGCAGGAAGUUCCCGCCCUACUGUUUGUCAUGGAAACCAAAACUAGGGUUGUAAGAGUUGAAGCACUGCAGAGACAGCUGGGCUUUGUAGGAUGUUUUGCGAUUGAUAGUAAUGGACUAAGUGGUGGCAUCGGCCUUUUCUGGUCGAGUGAU
rnacentral:rRNA from 1 species